rnacentral:tmRNA from 1 species
GGGGGCGAAAUGGUUUCGACGGGGAUUCAGAGGUUUUGGUUGCAUGCCGAGUUACUGUAACUCGUAAAACUGCAGUAUCUAAAUAUAAUCGCAGACGAUUAUACCUACGCCGUAGCUGCUUAGGCAGCUGCCGUCCUUCCGGUUGCCUCCCGAGCAACCGGGUCUGGGCGUCGACAAAUCGGGAUAGUCUGUAUUGAGUGGCCGAAUCAUUACAGGCGAAUUUUUUCGGACUAGGUCCCGCGGUACCCCGCCUGAAGGAGACCGCGUGAUCGACAAUCAGAGUUCAGGAUAAGCAUGUAGACGCCACUACUGAAGGUUUUCGGACGCGGGUUCGACUCCCGCCGCCUCCACCA